GCCCAGGGACACCACGAAGAAGCUCAGGAAGCCGAGGAUGAUGUCCACGAUGCCCACGCGGUCGUAGUUGGCAAACUCCUCAAAGAGCACAAAGCUGGGAAAAUUCAGAUAAUGAACUAGAACAGGACUUCUUAACUCCUUAAGCUUUCUAAAAAUACAGUCGGCCAGCCCAUACUCUACUUGGAUUGUCUGGAGGUGGGACCCAGAAAUCUCUGUUCAACAAGGCCCCAGAGGGCUGCAAUGAACCACCAAGUUCAGGCGCCAUGGACCCAGAGGCUCUCCACGGCUUCCCCACCUCUGGGCCGGGGAAAUAAACGGUCAUUGUAACACCACCA